rnacentral:rRNA from 1 species
AUGGGCCCGCGUCUGAUUAGCUAGUUGGUGAGGUAACGGCCCACCAAGGCAACGAUCAGUAGCCGGCCUGAGAGGGCGGACGGCCACAUUGGGACUGAGACACGGCCCAAACUCCUGCGGGAGGCAGCAGUGGGGAAUAUUGCACAAUGGGGGAAACCCUGAUGCAGCGACGCCGCGUGAGUGAAGAAGUCAUUCGUGAUGUAAAGCUCUAUCAGCAGGGAAGAAGAUGACGGUACCUGACUAAGAAGCACCGGCUAAAUAC